rnacentral:lncRNA from 1 species
GCAGAUUGAACAUAAUCCGACCACGUCUGCUCAGGAAUUUCCCUACUCACUUAUUAUGGAACUUGAUUGGUAGAAUUAUUACCAAAAAUUCUCAUGGAGGUUUUAAGGGCUCAGGCUCAGAGCGUUUUCUUUUCCAUCUGCAUGCAAAGAGAUGAUCAAGACUAGCCCAAUGGCAUACAACUAGAGCUCAGUUUCUGCUACAGAAUUUUGUCACUCCUUGGGUCUGUGAUUGGAGGGUCCCACCAAAAGUCCCACCAAUGACCAGAAUCACGUUCUCAUAAUGCGUCUCUGCGACUAUUGAACAGGGAGGAAGACUUCUGAAGGCUUAAGGAUAAAGAACAGUGGAAAAGCCAUGCCUGAGUCAAGAAGGAGAGAAAAUAUCAUCUAUAAUGGACUAGUUCUGUUGACAUCUACCUGAAAGUCUUCAGAAGGAGAAAAAAGGAUCUGGAUUUUUUUACAAGAAAAAUGAGAAGCAAACCUGUGUGAGAGUCUCCGGCAGAGGGAUAGUAAAGGCUUAGAAAACCUGUCCAAUUUAGGAGAUGGACUAAUUAGGUGUUCAUUUGAAAUAUUUUAUGGGAGGGGACAGGACUGUUCAUUGAACAGGGAAAAAGCCAUGGAGUUCUACUUCUUGGAAUUCCUGUAGUGCCUGGAACUAGUCACAGCCCUGCAAAUAUGGUCUGAGCCUAGCAGAGAACAGCCAGAGGAUCAGCUCCCUUAUUAUUGAUAUUCUAUCUUUCUCAAUGCAGCCCAAGAUCUCAUUAGGAUCGUUGGCAGCAUCCCGUCCUCAGCCCUGUCUAAUUCAAUAUUUCUCUCAAUGAGUCAGGUAAAAGCAUCCUUCUCCAAUGGGCUGAUGACACAAGGCUGGGAGGGAUAGAAGCCAAUAUUUGAUGACAGACUCAGGCUUCAGAGUGAUCUCUUCGUCCCAGAAUGAUAGACCAAAGCAAGAAGAUGACCGACAGGAGUCUCCUUUCUAGUCCAAGUCAUCUUCCCCUUACUCAGGGGAGGAGACAGUAUGGAAAGUGUUGGAAUCAAAAAACCUCAAAAAUGUGCAUGAAAAGCUUCAUCUAAUCAUCUGAAAAAUGAGAAGCCUGAGCAAAAGCAGGACUGUAACUUACCAGAUGACCAUAACAACAUCAAGGAAGAUGACUUUGAAUUCAGAACUUGGACUAAUGCAAUGACCAGGCAUUUCUUCAGAAGGCUGAUGGCAAAGCACCCAUCCUACCUCCUGGCAGAGAUUUGAUGGACAAAAGACAUACACAUAACCAAUGUAUUGAUUGCUUUUUCUUGGUUGGACUUACUUGUAUCCAGGGAGGGUAAAAACAAGAAGGCAGGAGGAAGCUAAAAAGUAAACAGGACAAUUUUGUUAUUAUUGCAAUAAAUUUAAUACACACUUCA